AAGGGCAGAGCCUGCACUGUGGCUUGUGACUAGCCUCAUUAGUUGCCUGUUAAUAAACAUUAGCUGAAUAGUUACCAGUGUUGUUACCAGCAUUUGUCCUCUUGUGAAUUCAAGAGUCCUCGCACUCUUUAACAUGUUCUUUAUAAAAUGUAUAAACCCUUCCAAACUAUUUAAAGAGGAGUGUUAUUGCAUGCAGAUAAUCAUAAUUUUGAGUUUGCCUCAGAAGACUACUAAAGCAAAUUUGUUCAUUUUUUUUUAAAAAAAUGCCCUUUAAUGUUUCAAAAAAAAAUAACAGUGUAAUUUGACUGACUUUAAGAUCAGCCAUAAAUAAUGAGCAGUCUUCAAAAGCACUUUUCACACAGAUCAUCUGGGCUCCAGGGAGGAAGAGUCUGUGCCACUGAUGUUUUCAAGUGCAGGACUCACUCAAACCUCUCAGCAUCUUAGGACUGUUUCAAGUAAUCAUAUUGAUGAACUCGUAAUUCAUGGUUGACCUUCAGAAGAAGAUAUUCAUUGUAUAUUAACAUUUAGAGGUCAUUUAAAUAACAAAAGUCUGUAUUGUAAAGGACCUGUACAAUUUUAAGACAAUAAAGAAUUGAAAGUGUAAAUGUGUGUGCCUUUUAAAGGUUACAUUUUAAAUAUAUUGCGUGAUUUCUGGGAAAGGUGAAAAAAAUGUUCUGUAUCAAAGAGAAACCUGUUUAUUAAAAAAUGUUGUUUGUAUCCUAUGUAACAGGGUGAAGUGGUGUUCUGUGGAACAGAACCAUGUAAACUCAAGGUUUAAAAGCUGGCACUGAACAAAGAUAUUGAAGUAGCUAGGCUAGUUGAUUGGAAAGAGUUUCUUCAGGGUUGUUGUUAGCAGUAAUAAAUGAUUCUUUUUCAGAAAUAUUUAAUUUCUCCAUAAAAAUAAGUUGGAUAUUUUUAUAAAUAUGUAAUCUAAUAGAAUGAAAAUGGAAUAAACAUAGUGUAUAGAAUACCUAAUUCAAAAACAUAUUAAUGAAUAAACGAACAAAUGAUUUCAUGUUUCUAUUCAGUCCUUCAAUGACAUCUUUAUAUAUAGACUACAAGUGUAACAUGACUUUAUGUAUUUUUAAAACAGUUGUAUUUGUGAUUGAGUCUGUUAGUGCAGUCUAUUUCACUUAAUUGGUGCUCUUCAGAUUUAAUAUAUGGUUUUAUGCUGUGGAAUUACUGUGUGUUCUGACACACUAACUCUCUUUCGUUAACACUGAGUCUUGUGGUCGUUGAUUGUCUUUGUUACCCAGUACUUUCAUAUUCAUCUUACCAGUGUUCACACACAUGUUCCAAGCAAGUGAGAACUAAAAAGAUUUUGUUACAAAGAAAACAAAACAAUUCCAGAAGCCUAAAUUCAUUGAGCUUUUGUUUUUACAUAGUUAAAGGCAAUAUGAACUUUGCAGCUAGAAUGAAUACCUGACUUUCAGUCUCAGAUGUGGCUUUUAGAUAAAGUUCCACAAAUGGACCCAUUGUCUGAUGUCUAAAACAGGGUACUGGAACCUAUGUAAUAUAGUUUGCACUUUCAAUGCAAAAAUUUUUAGGUAUGUGUUCAGUACUCAACAUGUUAACUGUUGUAAAGGUUUAUACGGUAUAGUCUUGGGGGGGACAGAAAUGUAUAGGGGCCCCACAGAGUUCCAGCAUCACAGGAGGCUGAGGCAGGAGCAUUUGAGCAACAGAGAAUGACAACAUCUGAAGAACAGGUGGGGAAAAACGGCUUUUACUGUGAACUUUUAAAGAAUGCUUAUGUUACAUAUGUUUAUUGUGACAGUGGUAAUUUAAUAUAAUAAAAACAUUAU
rnacentral:lncRNA from 1 species